rnacentral:rRNA from 1 species
AUUGAACGCUGGCGGCAUGCCUUACACGUGCAAGUCGAACGGUAACAGGUCUUCGGAUGCUGACGAGUGGCGAACGGGUGAGUAAUACAUCGGAACGUGCCUAGUAGUGGGGGAUAACUACUCGAAAGAGUGGCUAAUACCGCAUGAGAUCUACGGAUGAAAGCAGGGGAUCGCAAGACCUUGUGCUACUAGAGCGGCCGAUGGCAGAUUAGGUAGUUGGUGGGAUAAAAGCUUACCAAGCCGACGAUCUGUAGCUGGUCUGAGAGGACGAUCAGCCACACUGGGACUGAGACACGGCCCAGACUCCUACGGGAGGCAGCAGUGGGGAAUUUUGGACAAUGGGCGCAAGCCUGAUCCAGCAAUGCCGCGUGCAGGAUGAAGGCCUUCGGGUUGUAAACUGCUUUUGUACGGAACGAAAAGCCCUGGAUUAAUACCCUGGGGUCAUGACGGUACCGUAAGAAUAAGCACCGGCUAACUACGUGCCAGCAGCCGCGGUAA